AUUGAACGCUGGCGGCAGGCCUAACACAUGCAAGUCGAGCGGAGCGGCGGACGGGCGAGUAAUGCCUAGGAAUAUGCCCGGUCGUGGGGGAUAAGGUCCGGAAUCGGGCGCUAAUACCACAUACUAUCAGAUGAGCCUCGGUCGGAUUAGCUAGUUGGGGGGGUAAAGGCUGACCAGGGCGACGAUCCGUAACUGGUCUGAGAGGCUGAUCAGUCACACUGGAACUGAGACACGGUCCAGACUCCUACGGGAGGCAGCAGUGGGGAAUAUUGGACAAGGGGCGAAAGCCGGAUCCAGCCAUGCCGCGUGUGUGAAGAAGGUCUUCGGAUUGUAAAGCACUUUAAGUUGGGAGGCGUUACCAACAGAAUAAGCACCGGCUAACUUCGUGCCAGCAGCCGCGGUAAUUC
rnacentral:rRNA from 1 species